GACGAACGCUGGCGGCGUGCUUAACACAUGCAAGUCGAACGAUGAUGCCCAGCUUGCUGGGUGGAUUAGUGGCGAACGGGUGAGUAACACGUGAGUAACCUGCCCCUGACUCUGGGAUAAGCGUUGGAAACGACGUCUAAUACUGGAUAUGACUGCCGGCCGCUGGGGCUGGUGGUGGAACGAUUUUUUGGUUGGGGAUGGACUCGCGGCCUAUCAGCUUGUUGGUGAGGUAAUGGCUCACCAAGGCGACGACGGGUAGCCGGCCUGAGAGGGUGACCGGCCACACUGGGACUGAGACACGGCCCAGACUCCUACGGGAGGCAGCAGUGGGGAAUAUUGCACAAUGGGCGAAAGCCUGAUGCAGCAACGCCGCGUGAGGGAUGACGGCCUUCGGGUUGUAAACCUCUUUUAGUAGGGAAGAAGCGUAAGUGACGGUACCUGCAGAAAAAGCACCGGCUAACUCUGUGCCAGCCGCCGCAGUAA
rnacentral:rRNA from 1 species